CGACAAUCGUCACUUUUAAUCGAUGUUCCGUGGUCGUCACUUUUUUAAAAAGUUUGUUGUGUGGAGUACAUUUUUAAAAUCAAGAUGUAUGUCACAUGGAGCACUUAACUAAACAAACUUCGUUCUCGGCUAGAGUUUGAAGCAAGCUAUUGAACUGUCCACCAUUCCACCACCUUACAGGACCACCCACUGUAACUGUUUUGAAGCUACAGUUGCUUGCACCAUUCUCCCAGAGGUGGACUUGGGGAUGUAUUUGGGGGAGGAGUUAAACAGUCUGUCAGAACUAGUCAUACAGCAAAAAUUUGAGGGAGCCAUCUGGAGGUGGCAUUGAGGCAGCAACACAAAUCACCUAACCUGUCGGUGAUGCGUCCAGGGCCAUCACCACAUACAGUUAAAUUGUUGGCUAUCCUCACCACGUGUGGGGGUAU